GAUGAAGAACGUAGUGAAAUGCGAUAAGUAAUGUGAAUUGCAGAAUUCAGUGAAUCAUCGAAUCUUUGAACGCACCUUGCGCUCUUUGGUAUUCCGAAGAGCAUGCCUGUUUGAGUAUCAUGAAAAUAUCAACCUUGACUUGGGUUUUGUGCUCUAGUCUCGGCUUGGAAUUGGGUGCUUGCCGCUUUUACGAGCGGCUCACCUUAAAUGUAUUAGCUGGAUCUGUCUUUGAGACUUGGUUUGACUUGGCGUAAUAAGUAUUUCGCUAAGGACAUUCUUCGGAGUGGCCUCGUUUCUAGGACGCUUGUCCGCUUUCCAAUACAAGUUCCACCUCGUGGACAUGACUUUUUAUUAUCUGGCCUCAAAUCAGGUAGGACUACCCGCUGAACUUAAGCAUAUCAAUAAGCGGAGGA
rnacentral:misc_RNA from 1 species